rnacentral:rRNA from 1 species
GGCGAAGGCGGUUCUCUGGACCUUUCCUGACGCUGAGAAGCGAAAGCGUGGGGAGCAAACAGGCUUAGAUACCCUGGUAGUCCACGCCGUAAACGGUGGGUACUAGGUGUGGGGGACAUUCCACGUUCUCUGUGCCGUAGCUAACGCAUUAAGUACCCCGCCUGGGGAGUACGGCCGCAAGGCUAAAACUCAAAGGAAUUGACGGGGCCCCGCACAAGCGGCGGAGCAUGCGGAUUAAUUCGAUGCAACGCGAAGAACCUUACCUGGGUUUGACAUAUACCGGAAACGUCUAGAGAUAGGCGCCCCGCAAGGUCGGUAUACAGGUGGUGCAUGGCUGUCGUCAGCUCGUGUCGUGAGAUGUUGGGUUAAGUCCCGCAACGAGCGCAACCCUCGUCCAAUGUUGCCAGCGGAUAAUGCCGGGGACUCAUUGGAGACCGCCGGGGUCAACUCGGAGGAAGGUGGGGAUGACGUCAAGUCAUCAUGCCCCUUAUGUCCAGGGC